AUCGCCAUGGAAUCUUGUUAAAACCCAGAAUCUGACUCAGUAGGUCUAGAGUGAGGCCUGGGAUUCUGCAUUUCUAACAAGCUGUCAGGCGAUGCUGA
rnacentral:pre_miRNA from 1 species